CUCCUACUCCCUCCGUUCCACAAUACAUGCCUUCUAUUUGUCAAAAUAUAGAUGUAUCUAGACAUGUUUUAGUAUAUAGGUACAUACAUUUUUGGACAAAUGAAAGUCAAGUAUUUUGGAACGGAGGGAGUAAAAU
rnacentral:pre_miRNA from 1 species